rnacentral:tRNA from 2 species
GGGGUUGUAGUUAAAAAUAACAUUUAAUUUGCAAUUAAAAAGUACUUAAUUAAGUCUUCCUCA